UUGACUGGCUCAGUAGCGAAACUUCUAUUCAACCGUAUUUUUAUCUUCUAUAAUACCUAAUUGCCGUCUUUAUAAUCGAGACAAUUCAUAAUUAAUCGUAAUAAUUGAUAAAUUUCAAAGCUAACUGAUAAUUACUGUAAUAAUAUAACCUGUACUAUUGUUACGGAUGAUCACUGAUAAUCUGCUGCGGAACAGGUUUUCUUCAGUAUCCUGUAAAUUUUCCCCAGUAACAUAUUCUAGAUAACCUGUUUUGUUACGGAUGAUCUCUGAUAAUCUGCGAAGGAACGUGUUUUCUUUAGCAUCGAGUUAAUUUUCCUCAACAACAUACUCUAGAUUCUCCCUCAGAAGAAUCUUCCUUCCUUCGUCAGUUUUGAUUAGCAUCAGGAUUUUGGGAAAUGCAUGUUGCUUAACGGUACUACAUGGAACAUUACCAAUAGCAACUCUUAAAGUGUUUGAGACAACAGUGAAUUAUUGUACAUGUAUUUAACAAAUUUAAAAAAUAAGUAAAAGUUGUUUUGAAUAUUAGAUUCAUACAUCAGCAGUGAAAUCUGGUUAUAGUCCUUCAAGAUAUUGAAUUUCAUUUUUAACAGAUUUAUUGAAUAAUUAUUUGUAAAUAAUUCUGUGAUAGGAGUUGUGAAUUGAACAUAUUGUCAUUACAGAACAGGACAGGACAUAAGGCUAAAAUGAAUCCAGAACAUUCUUUAGAAUUUCCUUUGAAAAGUGAAACUGAAGGUGCAUUAUCACUACCUUCCAUAAAUCAAGAAAACAGAAACUUGGCUGCCUUUAGUGGAACCAGUGAUGGAGACUUUUUGUCUCUGGAUCCAUUGAUGGACAUCAAAAUAGAGCCAGAGGAAUUCUAUGAGUCUAAUGAAGAUGAUGACUAUUCAUAUGAAAUGAAUUCAACAGUGAAGGAAAAAAAUCCACAAUUUGCAAAAAGGAAGUAAAACAAGAAAGAAGGAAUCGUCACAAUGGAGAGAAGCCUUUCAGAUCAACUGACUGUGAGAAAGCAUUUUACAAGAAAAUUAAUCUUACAAAUGAUAUCACAAAUCCUACCAGCAAUAAAUUCAUAUGCAAUGACUGUGGGAAAGCAUUUUCCUUGAAACAUAAUCUUAUAGUU